UGGGCCGGGAUGUUCACAACCCUUUGUUGUCCGACUCUGUUGCCUCCGGGGCGACCCUGCCUCCGGGCGGGGGCCCCGGGUGGACAUUUCAAACUCUUGCGUAACUUUGCAGUCUGAGUAAAUUUAAUUAAUAAAUUAAAACUUUCAACAACGGAUCUCUUGGUUCUGGCAUCGAUGAAGAACGCAGCGAAAUGCGAUAAGUAAUGUGAAUUGCAGAAUUCAGUGAAUCAUCGAAUCUUUGAACGCACAUUGCGCCCCCUGGUAUUCCGGGGGGCAUGCCUGUUCGAGCGUCAUUUCACCACUCAAGCCUCGCUUGGUAUUGGGCGACGCGGUCCGCCGCGCGCCUCAAAUCGACCGGCUGGGUCUUUCGUCCCCUCAGCGUUGUGGAAACUAUUCGCUAAAGGGUGCCGCGGGAGGCCACGCCGUAAAACAACCCCAUUUCUAAGGUUGACCUCGGAUCAGGUAGGGAUACCCGCUGAACUUAAGCAUAUGGAGAAGCGGAGGAA
rnacentral:rRNA from 1 species